rnacentral:rRNA from 1 species
AGUGAACGCUGGCGGUAGGCCUAACACAUGCAAGUCGAACGGCAGCACAGUAAGAGCUUGCUCUUACGGGUGGCGAGUGGCGGACGGGUGAGGAAUACAUCGGAAUCUACUUUUUCGUGGGGGAUAACGUAGGGAAACUUACGCUAAUACCGCAUACGACCUACGGGUGAAAGCAGGGGAUCUUCGGACCUUGCGCGAUUGAAUGAGCCGAUGUCGGAUUAGCUAGUUGGCGGGGUAAAGGCCCACCAAGGCGACGAUACGUAGCUGGUCUGAGAGGAGGAUCGGCCACACUGGGACUGAGACACGGUCCAGACUCCUACGGGAGGCAGCAGUGGGGAAUAUUGGACAAUGGGCGCAAGCCUGAUCCAGCCAUACCGCGUGGGUGAAGAAGGCCUUCGGGUUGUAAAGCCCUUUUGUUGGGAAAGAAAAGCAGCAGGUUAAUACCCCGCUGUUCUGACGGUACCCAAAGAAUAAGCACCGGCUAACUUCGUG